CAGCCGCCGCGGUAAUACGAAGGGGGCUAGCGUUGUUCGGAUUUACUGGGCGUAAAGGGCGCGUAGGCGGACUGAUAAGUCAGGGGUGAAAUCCCAAGGCUCAACCUUGGAACUGCCUUUGAUACUGUUUGUCUUGAGUUCGAGAGAGGUAAGUGGAACUGCGAGUGUAGAGGUGAAAUUCGUAGAUAUUCGCAAGAACACCAGUGGCGAAGGCGGCUUACUGGCUCGAAACUGACGCUGAGGCGCGAAAGCGUGGGGAGCAAACAGGAUUAGAUACCCCUGUAGUCCCUGUCUCUUAUAC
rnacentral:rRNA from 1 species